GUUAUUUCUUUCCACCUGCGCCCUCCCUAAACUUGCUGCACGACCGCAAGCCCCUUCUAGCCAGGUCAAUGGAGUGGUGUUACAAUCUUCCAAAAAGCCUGCUGGUAAACUGCUUUGCGGCGUUAAACCUUAACGCCUCCCCUCCGAGGGAGACUUGAAGUUUUGACCUCAGAUCAGACAAGGAUACCCGCUGAACUUAA
rnacentral:misc_RNA from 1 species